GCAGGUGUGGCGGAACUGGCAGACGCGUACGGUUCAGGACCGUAUGGACAUAACGUCCUUGGAGGUUCGAGUCCUCUCACCUGCA
rnacentral:tRNA from 1 species